rnacentral:rRNA from 1 species
CUUGGUCAUUUAGAGGAAGUAAAAGUCGUAACAAGGUCUCCGUUGGUGAACCAGCGGAGGGAUCAUUACAGAGUUGCAAAACUCCCUAAACCAUUGUGAACGUUACCUUUACCGUUGCUUCGGCGGGCGGCCCGGGUCCUGCCCGGCGCCCCUCGGCCCUCGCGGGCGCCCGCCGGAGGAAAACCAAACCAUUGCAUUGUAUGGCCUCUCUGAGUCUUCUGUACUGAAUAAGUCAAAACUUUCAACAACGGAUCUCUUGGUUCUGGCAUCGAUGAAGAACGCAGCGAAAUGCGAUAAGUAAUGUGAAUUGCAGAAUUCAGUGAAUCAUCGAAUCUUUGAACGCACAUUGCGCCCGCCAGUAUUCUGGCGGGCAUGCCUGUUCGAGCGUCAUUUCAACCAUCAAGCCCCCGGCUUGUGUUGGGGACCUGCGGCUGCCGCAGGCCCUGAAAACCAGUGGCGGGCUCGCUGUCACUCCGAGCGUAGUAGUUUACAUCUCGCUCAGGGCGUGCUGCGGGUUCCGGCCGUUAAAAGCCUUAUUUUACCCAAGGUUGACCUCGGAUCAGGUAGGAAGACCCGCUGAACUUAAGCAUAUCAAUAAGCGGAGGA